CCUACGGGUGGCAGCAGUGGGGAAUAUUGGACAAUGGGGGGAACCCUGAUCCAGCGACGCCGCGUGAGUGAAGAAGUAUUUCGGUAUGUAAAGCUCUAUCAGCAGGGAAGAAAAUGACGGUACCUGACUAAGAAGCCGCGGCUAACUACGAGCCAGUAGCCGCGGUAAUAAGUAGGGGGCAAGCGGUAUCCGGAUUUACUGGGUGUAGAGGGAGCGUAGACGGUGCAGCAAGUCUGAUGUGAAAGGUCGGGGCUCAACCCCGGGCUUGCAUUGGAAACUGUUGAAUUGGAGUACAGGAGAGGUAAGCGGAAUUCCUAGUGUAGCGGUGAAAUGCGUAGAUAUUAGGAGGACCACCAGUGGCGAAGGCGGAUUACUGGACUGUAACUGACGUUGAGGCUCGAAAGCGUGGGGAGCAAACAGGAUUAGAUACCCCUGUAGUC
rnacentral:rRNA from 1 species